AUGGCCCACAUAUCAGAUAUUAAACUGAUAAGAACAGAUACUACACUUGAUCUUAGCCAAAAGGCCGAGAAAGGUAUGCUUAUACCGGCUGCCGCGGGUCUCCUUAUAUAG
rnacentral:rRNA from 1 species